UUCUGUUCUGUUUUGAAGGAGGUGGGUGGAAAUGACAGUUUGGAGAGGAUUCGAAUGAGGGAACACGGUUUCAGGGGAAGCAGCCUCUUUUCUCCAGUUCUAACAGUGCCAUCAAGUGGCUUGUGCGAGCAGGUGCAGGGCAGAGCCUCCGGACAGCCCGCGCUGACCCCGUGGACAGAGGAGCAAUGGGGCUUUGCAAAGGGCACCCUGCUGAUUGCCAGGGGCCAGCCUCUCACCUCUCAGCCGCGUAGCCCAACACCUUUCCCUAGAUCGGCCGGCAAGGAGGUGGGGGACAUAGCUACCCAAGUGUACCCUUAAUCACCCCAGUGGAUACGGCGACCAAGCUCACCAGGUUCCCGUUUCAUUGAGCCUCUGCCCACACACACCUGCAUCACUGGGAGGCAUCAGCACAAGAGUCAUGGUCCCACGAGAGGCACAGAAGUACAUUUCCAACCAGAGAAGUGGUCAGUGACCAGAGCAAGCCUGUCUGGGUCAUCAGACCCUUGUCUAUGUUCAAAGGAGAGCUGAGGGCUGAAGGGUGCUGGGCGAGACCAGGCAAGGUGAGCGCACCUGGGGAAGCCUGGCCGACAUCCCUCAAGCUAAACUUCCGGCCAGGGACACAAGUCUUCUGGCAUUUCACUUAACUGUAGCUGCAUUCUUUUUUUUAACUCUGCAAAUCAAGAUCACUUCGCCUUGGAACUCCACAAGUGGUUUUCUUUCUAAAGAGAGACAUUUUACUGAAGCAGAAGACUUUGCCAGCAGUUGUGUAUCUGGCACCCGGAACCAAGCAGCAGACGGAGUGAGGCUCCGGGGAACAUUCCCCCAGGAGUCCAGGCGCCUGGUACACGUCAAGCCCUAACACCAUGCUGCCGUGCACCUCUGAGGAGCCACGCCACACAGCCUGUGGGAUCUCAGUUCCCUAACCAGGGAUCGAACCCGCGCCCCCUGCACUGGCAGCACGGAGUCUCAGCCACUGGCCCGCCAGGGAAGUCCCCAUCAUAGCCACUUUUGAGGCACCUGCCCAGACCACGACUCUCAGGAUGGUCCACCCCACCAGCAGAGCUGAGGCCCUAAUACUGUACUUCAUGACUGCAGACCCGGAUGAUGACUGACUGCACAGAGACGGACACCUGCUCCUGUUGAUUUGGACUUCCCUGGUGGUGCAGUGGUUAAGAAUCCGCCUGCCAAUGCAGGGGACACGGUUUCGAGCCCUGGUCGGGGAAGAUCCCACAUGCCGCGGAGCAACUAAGCCCGUGCGCCACAACUGCUGAGCCUGCGCUCUGGAGCCCGCGAGCCACAACUACUGAGCCUGCGUGCCACAACUACUGAAGCCCACGUGCCUAGAGCCCAUGCUCUGCAACAAGAGAAGCCACUGCAAUGAGAAGGCCACGCACCGCCAUGAAAAGUAGCCCCGGCUCGCCGCAACUAGAGAAAGCCCGCGCGCAGCAACCAAGACCCAACGCAGCCAAAAAUAAAUAAGCAUGACAGAGCCUCAGGAUUAUUUGGGGCACAGUACAGGGCAGAAUCUUGCUACUCAAAGCCUGGGACUGGGAGCUUGGCCUCACCUGGGAACUUAUUAAAAGGAGACUCCCAAGCCCCACCCCGACUUAAUGAAUAAGAAUCUGCAUUUUAACAAGGGCCCAGAGACUGGUGCAUGCAUUUAAAGUUUGAGGAGCUCCGACUCAGAAAUGCUGGUCCAUUAACUGACACCCAGCUUUGGUAGAGUUUUCACUAGUCCACCUGAAAAUGCCAGUGUGAAAUUUUUCCUUUCUUGGCAAGAGCCAUCUUCCACUCUGAUUGUAUUCCCUUCCUUCUACUUUUUAGGCAUAAAGUGUGCUUUAGGAAGUGAGACUGAUUGUGAUUGUGGAUGUAGUUCUGUCAUGUGUUCAGCAGUCAAAAAUAAAACUUGG